UACGUAGGGGGCGAGCGUUGUCCGGAUUCAUUGGGCGUAAAGCGCGCGUAGGCGGCCCGGCAAGUCGGCCGUGAAAUCUCCCAGCUCAACUGGGAGGGGUCGGGCGAGACUGCGGGGCUCGAGGUGGGCAGAGGGCAGUGGAAUUCCGGGUGUAGUGGCGGAAUGCGUAGAUAUCUGGAGGAACACCGGUGGCGAAGGCGGCAUCCUGGACCAACACUGACACUGAGGAGCGAAAGCCAGGGGAGCAAACGGG
rnacentral:rRNA from 1 species